UUAAGGAGAAAGAAGAAUGUUAAUCCAACAUGGAAAAGGCCCACCCUAAUUGAAGAAUGGUGAACAGGAUUCUCGUCAAUGAAUUAUAGCCUCAUUUUAAAAUUCACUCAUCCAUUUGAUAAUUAAUUAUAAUGGCAUCUUACAUAAUCAUCAGAGGCUUUCUCUGAAAAAUACAUGAAGGUUUUGUGCUAUUAUCACCAGAGCCAGCAAUUCAACCUAAAUUCUGAGUGUAAUGGAAGCCGUUAAUCACUAUCAAGUUCAUCAUUUUUUUUUCAUGGC
rnacentral:lncRNA from 1 species